rnacentral:lncRNA from 1 species
AUGGGAAAGAAACCUGGAAAGGUAGGGAGGUAUGGAUAUGGACAAGCUAUGCCAAGGAGCAGGGCUUUGUCAUGGAGAGUGACUAGGUGCUUUUACAUAGGAAAGUCACCUGAUAAUAUUAAAACCUGUGAAAUAUCACUCUGGUGGAAGUGUGAAUGAAUUUGAAAGGGGUGUAACACUGUUCUACUUUGUUUACUCCUCAGUACCCUUGGCUGUGUACAUUUGAGUAAAGAGAGCACUAUAAAAUCAAAAACCAAUGAAAUGGUUUCCAGAACACAGAACUAUUAAGCUUAAGAAAAGGACAGAAGGAACUGAAGAGAGAGGAACUGUUUUGGAGCAUCACACUUCCACCUCAGAAGAAAUAAGGAAGGAAGGAGGAGGGUGUUCCCACGGCUCUUCAACCAGGCCGGCUCUUCAGCCUACAUCCCCAUCUCAUCAAGUAAAAGGGAUUUUUCAACUGGACCAACCAGAUGGUUUAACAGUGCACUCCCACACCAUUCAACUACGCAAGGGAGAUACACUUAACAUAUGCAGUCGUAUAACACCUACUAACAUUUUCAAACAUUAAACCUUUAAAAAAGAGUUCUAAAGAAAUAGAAGCUUGAAGUAUCAUCUCUCAAGUAUAUAGACACUACUUCAUGGUGUGGUAAUAUAUGCAUAUAGAAGCUAGUAAACACCUCCAGGAGAUGCAAAAGGAAUUAGAACUGCCACAAGGUGCAAGCAAAACCUUGAGCUUCUUUAAAAUAUGAAGACUUCGAAGUUAUUUAUCCAAACCAACCUGAUCAUUUCUUAAGAGUGAAUAUACCUUGGAAGACGUGUCCUGCCUUUAGUAGCGUCACAAUGGAUUACAUCCUCUAUAAAGCAGUCUGGGAGGCUAACAUCUGCCACAAGACAAAUAUGGUGCCUGCCCCCAUGGAGCUCAUAUUCGAAUGGAGAAAAUGUCAACAAGUAUCCCACGGAGUGAACACUUCAAAAGGAGAAGCACAGGUGAGAAAAUCGAAUUUGGACACCGUUGAGGAGACUAUUGCAGUCAUCCAAGCUCAAGAUGGUGGAGCUUCAUCCUUGAGAAUAACCAAUGGGGAUAGAUUUAAGAGACACUUAGAGUCUGCAGCCAACAGGGCUGAAUGAGCAGAGAGUUAUGAUUCAGAAGAUCAUCUAAAAUUGAACAGCUGCCACUACUGGCAAUAAGUCUACUGCCAUUUGGUAGAUAACCUUCUUAUCACACAGAAAAAUAUCAGUACAGACAAAUAGACCGCAAAGAAAAUGAGACCAUCAGCAAAGAAGAUAAAGAAGUUUGUACAAAGCAACUUUUUAUAAAUGGAUGGCUGUCAGGCAAAAAUAAAUUUCCUGUGGACAAGACCAAGAGCAAGGCAAGAGGAAAAUAAACAUGUUUAAACU